GACGAGCUGGUCCCGUUCUCGCCAGCAUAAAGUAGCACGCCGCCAACAUCCAACACGCCGAGGCGCUCAACACACGCUGACAGCGCCUCCACAGCCGACAACCACUGAUACCACAACAACUUCUCGUAAAUGGUGCCAACACGAUUGCCAUCGGCGACGACCGUCGAUUUUAACUAGGUGACCUGUACGAAUAGUGUUGAUACAGUCGUGUAGGUCUUUCAGCAAGUGUGGAACUUCCCGACUGACGUCUGAUCGGCAGUCGGUGACAGUCCGCGUUGUACGGCGACCAGUUACAUGUGCCUCUACGUGUCGAGAACGUCCGAAACUGCAUCAUUCAGCUGCGCGAUAUCUGUGUGUUGUUUCCUGUGACUCUGUUUUACGGCUGUAACAUCGGACGACAAUCCGGAUGUCAACUCGCAGAACCUGGAUCCUGUUGACUGAAGCUUAUGCUGGUCAAGUCUGCUGAAGGGAAAUAAACUUUGCUGCAAGCUGAGAAGGGUGUUUCAUCAUAGAGCUGUAUUGAUUCCUGCUGUGGCCAGUUUCUCUGGCGCUGAAUUUCGUCACAUGGUGGAGUAUUGGGAGAUCCAGUGAUCCGAUCUAAGUGACGGACCGGGAUGCUGAGGCGGACAUUGGCGCCGAGACACCGCGCCAACGCGACGAAGAGGACGUCACACAUUACAGAGGCCUGACCGCCGCAGGAUGGUGAAGUGCGGCGACGAGCCGCUGCUGGUGCCGCCGCCCAAGGCAGCGGCCAUGGCGGCGACCAGCAAGGCGGCGCCCGCCGUCGGCGU